UCUACUAUCUGAUCUUCGAGACUAGGAGAGAGACAUGGACAUGUCAAGCUUCUUGCUCUCGUAUCGCUUGGCCAAAGACCAUGGAUGAAGAACUGUUCCGGAAUUUUUCUUGAUUGCAGUUGCAUCUCACAGAAUGUUGGGCCAUUGUAGUACGUACUCCAUUAAAAGGAUAGAGAGGCAAGAAAUGGUUUGAGCCACACUCCCACAUAUCUUGUUAAUAUAUUUUGCAUCGGUGUAGCAGGUUCACGGUACAAAAGGUGGGAAGCCACUGGAAUACAAUCAUCGCUACUUGAUAUUGGGUCUAAUCAGUAGUAACUCAGGGGUGCAAAGAACAAUCAUUAGCCAGAGAACCACUAUCAACUCUCCAUAACUAAACACUACUUGUAACAAAUGUGUAUGAAAAGGAUUGGGUGAUUUGGGGUGAAUGAUGAUAAACUGGUGUGGUGGAUGACCGAUCUGCUAUUUAUAAAGGAUACUGGUCUCUCGUCACGUGCGUCGCACGUGUAUACCGAAUCAAUACACAUUUGUGUAAAAUAACAUUAAUAUUAGUACUACAAAAUUUUGAGUGAAUUUAUAGUAAAGCCCUGAAUCUAUGAAUAUGAACGAUAAAAUUUUAAUUA